rnacentral:rRNA from 1 species
CACGAGCGCAACCCUCGUCCUUAGUUGCCAUCAUUAAGUUGGGCACUUUAAGGAGACUGCCGGUGACAAACCGGAGGAAGGUGGGGAUGACGUCAAGUCAUCAUGCCCCUUACAUCCUGGGCUACACACGUACUACAAUGCAACGGACAAAGGGCAGCCAACUAGCGAUAGUGCGCUAAUCCCAUAAACCGUUGCUCAGUUCAGAUUGCAGGCUGCAACUCGCCUGCAUGAAGGCGGAAUCGCUAGUAAUCGCAGGUCAGCAUACUGCGGUGAAUACGUUCCCGGGCCUUGCACACACCGCCCGU